rnacentral:rRNA from 1 species
CGGACGGGUGGAGUAACGCGGUGGGGAACCGUCGCCCUCGGUACCGGGGGAGUAGCAGCCGGAAACGGCUGAUAAUACCGCAUAAGCGCACGAAUGUCGCAUGACAUGGUGUGAAAAACUCCGGUGGUAUAGGAUGGACCCGCGUCUGAUUAGCCGGUUGGUGGGGUAAAAGCCUACCAAAGCGAAGAUCAGUAGCCGAGUUGAGAGACUGACCGGCCACAUUGGAACUGAGACACGGCCCAGACUCCUACGGGAGGCAGCAGUC